ACUUCCAGCUACCAGUGCUCUCCCUGGCACCACAGUAAUAAACGGCCUCAUCUUCAGCCUGGGUGUUGGAGAUGGUUAAAGAGCCAGCGUUCCCAGAUUCAGAGCCAGUGAACCGAUCUGGGAUCCCUUCUCCCCUGGUGCUGGAGCCAUACCACACAAAGCGAGGAGCCUGUCCAGGUUUCUGUUGAUACCAGUGAAAGCUGCCCCAGCUACCACCACUACUUUUAGAGCAGGAGAAUUUCACAGUUUGGCCCAGGGACACAGAUUGGGAGCCUGUCUGAGUCACUGUUGGCUGUGAAUUGGCACCUUUUGAAAAAGAAAAAGAAAAGCAUGACUCUCCAUCCUCUGUGUUCUCAAAUAUCACUGGAGCUUUAAGUUUCCAUAAUAAAUAAACAUAAUAAAUGAAUAUAUAUUAUAGUUUAUUGUGCUGUUGGCUCCACGGCAAAAGAGAUGUUAUUCCUCCCCAUCCUUACCUGAGCAGUAACUGAGAAGGGCCAGAAAAACCAGAGUCCAGGCCAUGGUGAGCUCUCUUAUCCAAACAGGCAACUGGCUGGAAGCUCAGCCUUUUGCUUCUUAAAUGGCCUGGAGCUGAUGAAUGGCCACUUCAUGCAAAUCCAAACUGCGCUCAUUGGCUCUGCUAGAACUGCAUGUCUGUAUUUGGAAUGCAUGAUUAAGUAGGUCAACCAGAUGCAAUAGGACUGAUAUGUGGAGAGAGAGAGAGAGAGAGAGAGAGAGAGAGAGAGGACCUGAAGUAGAAGUAGGAUGAUUUGCCAUGAUCAAGGCAGAUUGGGACUGUCACUCACGAGAAAAGAGAAAGAGAUGGGCUCACAGCUUAGUGCUAAAGGACACAAAAUGUGCAUGCACAAGACACAGUCCCUGGCACCUCCCAUUUAAAAAGGAAUCAGGUAGUAAAUGAUGGGUUAAUGCCCCUUUCGAGAUGCUAGCAUCAGAAUAAGAAUCCUGGGAAAUGGAUUGAUUUUUCUUCUGAUUUAGUUGCAGGGAGGUUAGAUGGCGUUGUGUCAAAGAGAUGUUCUCCCACACUUUCCAGUACCUUGCCCCAUCCCUUUCCUUCUUCCAAAUAUCAACAUUUGGGGGAAAGCUGGUUUCCUGCACAAGUCCUCCAACACAAUUUUAAGUGGGCCACCUGGAUUUGCCAGUAUGUGAUGGAAUCUCACCUGAAAAUGUGGACAGGAUGGAAUAGCCUUUAAUGAAAAAACAGAUGGACCUACUAUAAUGCAGAUUUUUCUGAUCCAAGGGAGGAGGGGUGUUUUACAUCAAUAUAUCUUCUCAGAUCAGGAAAUGUGAAUUCUAGGCAGAAACAAUUGAUCUUUUCUCCUCAAGAAAAUGUUAGGGGAAGCCCGGAUGUAUGGCAACAAGAUGGAAAAAGCAGCAGAAACAGCAGAAAAGCUCAAAAUGUCUAUUUUGGGGGAGGCUCUAAUAUAAUGUUUUUUCCCAUGUGUUAGAUGAGGUUUUUUGACUCAAAAAUCAUGUCAAAAAACUGGGGUCGUCCUAUACACGGAUAGUGGCAUGGCGGGGGGAGGACUGCGUGUCCAUCAGUCAGCUGGUUGGCGGCCCAUGCUCUAGGGAGCAUUUCCGGAGGGAGCGGCUGCCCACUUUGCCAACCCCCAGCAACAGCCCAUCUCCCCUCAUUUUCAUUAUAUUUAACCCCCCAAAACAGGGUCUUAUACAUGAAAAAAUCUGGUAUAUAAAAUUUUAUUUUCCAUUUUCACAUCUUACAAUUAUUUUAACAACCAAAAUAAAUCUGUACAAAACCAAUCUGCAUUUUCUUCAGCUUUGCUCCCCCCACCCUGGUGGUUACUUAUUUUGCCUUUAUAAUCCCUUUUAAUUGUUUCUUACUGCACAUGUUUGUGCCAGUCCUGCUAAUGUUUUUAAUACAUCUUCAUAUAUUCAACCAUUUUUCCCCCAUUCUGUUCUAAAAAGUCUGUCAUCUUGUUCUCUUAUUCUUCUGGUAAGUUUUGCCACUUCUGAGUACUCCAUCAAUUUUAGUUGCCAGUCGUAUUUCAUUGGAACUGUUUCUUCUUUCCAUUUCUGGGCGUACACCAUUCGGGCAGCCGUAAUAGCAUACAUAAAUGUACUUUUUUAACCCCAAGAGUAUUAUAAGGCAGACAAAGUUGUGUGCAGGCACUUGAGUUCAGUGCCGGAUUUACGUACAGUAUAAGCUAAACAAGCUACAGCUUAGGGCACCACUCUCUUGGGGCCCCCCAAAACAAUUAAAGGAAAUUCUGCAUGUGCAAAUGGCUUUAGAAACCUAUUAGGUUCAAAAAUUACCAUAUAGCAUAUAUUCAACACAAAAAAAGGGACAAUUUGUUGUUGACGAAGGACAGCUGGACAUAUAAAGGGCCCCAUUACCUUCACUAGCUUAGGGCCCCAUCAAACCUAAAUCUAGCACUGCUUGAGUUCCAUGCAUGAGUAACAGCCAAAUAAACUGCUCAUCUGUUCCUGAACUCUGUCUUCAUACUGCAGGUGCAGGGACAUCUGGGGACUCCAGAAAUGAAUUAUGUCAAAGGUAGAUAAACUGAACCAAUGUCUCCCCUUGUGUCUAAAGCUCAGAUUAUCACCAAGGAUGUAUAUAAAGUUUCAGAAUAAAAUACCUUUUUUAAAAAAAAAAAACCACAACAGAUUUAUCAGUGUAGAACUGAAGAUUUCUUUUUAAGCAAACUUAUCAUAAAGGAAGCAGUUUUCAGUCAAAUAUCAGGCCGGACUCUUUGCUCUGCAGUCACCUCCUCUUUCACUCUACAAUGUGCAUGAAAAGGUAUCCUUGAAUGCCUCUUUCAAACACCAUUGCCAAGCACUCCUUGGGAAUCGGAGGAAAUUAUGAAUGGAUACGUUCUGAGUAUGCUGGCUAGAACACUGUCACCAGUUCUCUUCCUGGACCUGAUUUUGUGUUGUGUUUCUGCAUGUAAAAGGUAAAGGUAAAGGACCCCUGGACGGUUAAGUCCAGUCAAAGGCGACUAUAAGGUUGUGGUGCUCAUCUCACUUUCAGGCCAAGGGAACUGGCGUUUGUCUGCAGAGAGCUUUCCGGGUCAUGUGGCCAGCAGGACUAAACCGCUUCUGGUGCAACAGGACACUGUGAUGGAAACCAGAGCGCAUGGAAAUGCUGUUUACCUUCCUGCCGCAGUGGUACCUAUCUAUCUACUUUCACUGGCGUGCUUUUGAUCUGCUAGGUUGGCAGGAGCUGGGAGAGAGCAACGGGAGCUCACCCCGUUGGGGGGAUUCGAACCGCUGACCUUCUGAGUUGCAAGCCCAAGAGACUCAGUGGUUUGGAUGACAGCACCACCCACUGGUCGGUGGGAUGUAAUGGUUUUCCUUCUCCACCCCAGAGAGCAGCAGGGGAGCUCAGGGAAGGCUGGCCAGACCACAAGGCACACACAGCUCCACCCUCCAAUAUUUGGCCAGCACUCCCUGCCACCCUCAGCAUCUGCUGCCUGGACCCUCUGCCAAAUGCUGGGAUCAAAGCUCAGGAGAGGAGGGGUGAAGAUGGACAGGAGCUCAGAAGAAUAUAAUUCCCGGGUGUAAGGGGGGGAAAUGUUAUUUAUGUAUGCUACUACUGUGGCCCGUGUUUCGUUAGCCCCCCAAAAAUGAAAAAUAAGAGAGAUCCCAACUAAAGAAGAAUGGCUACUUAAACUGAUGGAAUAUGCGAACAUAUAGAAUAAGAGAGCAAGAGGAAAAUACUUUUAAAGAAGACUGGAAAAUGUUGCUUGAAUACAUGGGGGGAAAUUUUGUACACUUGAAAACGUUGGCAGCAUUAAGAUAAAUUCAACAGUGUCAAUAAGUUUUGAUGGAUGUAUUAAUGGAAUACUGAAGGGUUUAGUUUAUGUAAAAUAGAUAAAACAUUUUGGCACCUGAUUGCAUUAUAUGUUGACAGGGAAUGGGAGCAAAAAUAAGGGUUUCUUCUUCUUCUUUUUCCCCCACCAUGUGCACCGGGUGUGGGGAACCUUUGGCCCUAUCUACAGCAGGGGUCAGCAACCUUUUUCAGCAUUGGGCCGGUCCACUGUCCCUCAGACCUUAUGGGGGACAGGACUGUAUUUUUUUGGGGGGGGGGAAUGAAUGAAUUCCUAUGCCCCACAAAUAACCCAGAGAUGCAUGUUAAAUAAAAAGGACCCAUUCUACGCAUGUAAAAACACGCUGAUUCCUGGAGCGUCCGUGGGCCGGAUUGACAAGGUGAUUGGGCUGCAUCCAGCCCAAGGGCCUUAAGUUGCCUGCCCCUGAUCUACAGUAUCCAGUAAGGCUGGCCCCUGGCCAUGCUGUCUGGGAGGGGCUGAUGGGACUCACAGUUCAGUAACACCUGGAGCACCAGGUAUUCCCCCUUUGGUCAGCCCAGUGUCUCAUAUUCUAGAUUAGAGACGCAGAACAUUAGCACCUGAAUGAGUUGGAAGGCACAGGAGAUUUACUCACAAAUAAAGAGCAUUCUUCCAUUUCACUUCACACUGCAGUUGCAGGAAGUUUAUGUGGUGGUAUAAUUUUUGCUAAAUCUGGUCUAAGUGGACCUACAUCGCCCCCUACAGAUUAAAGGAAGGACUGCAGAGUUUGCAGCUCUAUCAACAGCCAGACACACUGAGAUUUCCAUGGCAAAGUUUCUCAGGGCCUGGAGGUGAGAGGAAAGAUUUCCAAACACAACCCACUUGGAAAUUUAUAUAUAUAAGACCCUGGACAAUUUCCAAGUGGGUUGUUUUACAAUUUAAAAUAGUCCUUUUACAUCCUUAAGAUACCAAUGACUUCCCUUCUUUUCUUUCCAUGGUUCAUUUACAUAUGAUAAAUCCCUGCAUAUUUUACAAAAACUAUACAGUUCAGUAUUCCAUUAUUGCAUCCAUCAAAACUUGUUUACACUGCUGAAUUUAUCUAAAUGCUGCCAGUGUUUUCAGCUGUACACAAUUAUUCGGCAUAUAUUCAAUAAAUGUUUUCCAAUCUUCUUUAAAUGUAUGCUCUUCUUGUUCUCUUAUUCUAUAUGUUAUGUCUGCAAGUUGUGCAUAUGAAAUUGCCUAGGGUCUUAAGGAUGGGUGCUUAAUAAUUUUUCUGCCUCUUAUAGUAAUUGUAAUGUGCUGUGUUAGGUGCUGCACGUUUAAUUGUAUUUUCAUUGCUUGUUUCAUUUCUUACAUAUUGCCUUUUAUUGCAUUACAAUGUGAAUUUCCUAAGAAAUAACAGAAACAAUUAGAAUACAUUUAAAGAGCAUGUUGACUCUAACAGGAAGCUGGGUGGGACCUGACACUUUCCUUUCUUAUAUCUCCCCAGGGCUGAUGAAUGGUCCUUUCAUGGACAUCCCAUGUUCAUUGGCUCUGUUAGAGCUUUGUCUCUCUUCUGAGAAUACAAAAUGCAAUAUCAAAACGAGAUGCAAUAUAAUACCUUAGCAGAAAGGAGAUUUAAAAAUAAUAUGAGCGAUGGUGCUUGUCUGGUAGAGGAUGACCUGAAGGAAGAAGCAGGAUAAUUCUUCCUUAUCCAGGCUGAUGGGGAUAUCUCAAGGGAAGAGGGAUAAAGGGGAAUGAAAGUUUAAUGGCAAAGGAUGUGACUUGCAUGUAGAAGGUCCAGUUCUUUGCACCCGAGAUAAAUAGAUCAAGCAGCAGAUGAUGGGAAAGACCUUGAGAUUCUGGGAUGAGAAGAGGAAUAUUGGACUGGGCUACUGCUUUUUGAACAUUCAUUGUGACUUGUUUGCAAGGAAAUUAAAAAACAACGACAACCCAGCUAUUUAUUUAUUAACAGGGUUGCCAUGUUUCAAAAUGUGAAAAUCCGGACACAAAAGUUGAUGAUCGUUUUUUGGCAAAGUUGUUGAGCUUUGACCUAGCCAUCAAGGAGAAUUAAGAACUGAGGGCUGCAAUUUAUUGCUGAGCUGUGUCAGAUGUUUACACCGAGGCCAUUUCUCUAAAUGCCUUCCUGUGUCUAAAUAAUCUGAUAUCACUCUACAUUCUUGUCAAAAACAGUCUGAGCUCAUUCAGGCCCAACUCUGCUAUUGAGGAACUCAGGUUUCAUUGUGGUAGGGUAGAAGAGAAAAGGUUUUUGUCUCAGUUCCCCAUGAGAAUGUACCACUGUGAUACUUGUCGCCACCAGUGUAUUCCCAGGCACCACAAUAAUAAACAGCCUCAUCUUCAACUUGGAUGUUGGAGAUGGUUAAAGAGCCAGUGUUCCCAGAUUCAGAGCCAGUGAACCGAUCUGGGAUCCCUUCUCCCCGAGUGGUGGAGCCAUACCACACAAAGCGAGGAGCCUGCCCAGGUUUCUGUUGAUACCAGCGAAAGCUGCUCCAGUCACCACCACUACUUUUAGAGCAGAAGAGUUUCACAGUUUGGCCCAGGGACACAGAAUGGGAGCCUGUCUGAGUCACUGUUGGCUGUGAAUUGGCACCUUUUGAAAAAGACAAAGAAAAGCAUGACUCUCCAUCCUCUGUGUUCUUAAAUAUCACUAGAGCUUUAGGUUUCCAUAAUAAAUAAACACUACAAGUAAUUUUGGUUUUAUCUCUCAGGUCUACAUGAGGUUACCUGUUUGCAUCCUUACCUGAACAGUAAUUGAGAAGGGCCAGGAAAAACAGCGUCCAGGCCAUGGUGAGGGGCUUUCUCAAACACAAAAUAACUGGCUGGGACCUCACCCUUUGCUUUCUUAAGUCCUCUAGAGUUGGGGAAUGUCCCCCUUUAUGCAAAUGCACCCAGAUUUGCAUAAAUGUUUUUUUAAAAAAAAAUGAGAAUGGGUCUUGUCUUGUACACAGCGAACGUUUCCCACCAUGGAAACAUGCCUCGCAAAGGAUGCAACAGCCUUGUGCCCUGCGAUCCCAGCUUCGCCUUUGAGAGGCUGGGCUCAUUCACAUGCCUCGUGUCUCCUCCCCCCCCCCAAGUGGCUAUGUACAUUUUAAAAUUAUUUUAUGUGUUGUAAGCUGCCCAGAGUGGCUGGGGAAACCCAGCCGGAUGGGCUGGACAUAAAUAACUAAAUCAUCCUCAUCCUCAUUAUCAUCAUCAUUUCGCCCCUGUAGAUGCAUACAGUGGUACCUCGGGUUACAUACGCUUCAGGUUACAGACUCAGCUAACCCAGAAAUAUUACCUCAGGUUAAGAACUUUGCUUCAGGAUAAGAACAGAAAUCGGGCUCCAGCGGCGCGGCGGUAGCAGGAGGCCCUAUUAGCUAAAGUGGUGCUUCAGGUUAAGAACAAUUUCAGGUUAAGUACUGACCUCCGGAACGAAUUAAGUACUUAACCCGAGGUACCACUGUAUUAUAUAUUGUCUAAUGAUAAUGUAUAUUAUAUGUGAGAAUUGCUCCUUUUUAAAACAGAAGGGGGAGCAGGUGCUCACCCCCUGCUGAGACCCCACCCCACCCCAAUUUGCAACCGCUGCCCUCCGCACCUGACUCUGGGUGGGGUGGAAAGAUUAAAGUGGGGGGGGGGAAUUGUUGGUUUGAUGUGAAUGUUUUUUGGACGAGGGGAAAUUGAGGUUUUAUUCAUUUUUGUUUAUUCGUUAAUGGGUCUGAUGAUUGCUUUGUUUAUUAUUUGAGCGUGUUUUUUAAUCGAUGUUAUGUUAUAUGAAAUAUCACUGUGUUGUUAAAACCAGGAGGGGGGCAGUUAAACGACCCCCCACAAAAUACCAAGUCCCCACCACAGCCUCGAACUAAGGCCAGGUCAAUGACACAAGCGCCAUACACAGACAACAGCAAAGAGGCUCAGAAAAGCAGUCUAUAAAAUUGUAGCAAUUAGCGGAGACCAUGUAUGGAACUCUGACAUUCCCAUAUGGAAUCAAAUAAUCGCCCAAAUUCAACAGUUUGGCGGAUUUCCUUGGUUCCAAAGGCUGAUGACUCCUCUGGAAGAGGGGAAUCCGGGGCUCCCCCUACCUCCAUAAUCCCUUAAGCAUAAGGUCACGUACUCCUUGCCCCUCCAUAAGGUGUGAACUGAGGCUCACAACAGGAGGUGAUCAAGAGCAGCACAUGCACCAGACAGAAAUCCAUCCAGAUGGAGGAUUGAAUCCGGAUACUUUCAGAGGAGGAGCUCAGGAAAGCCUUGCAGCUAGGGAGAUGUGUAAAUACUUUUAUUGUUCUUUGGGGAAGAGGUUAGUUAAAAGGUGCUGGGAAUGGGGAGCUAUUGACAGGGGUGGGUGUGAUGGGCUCAUGUUUCUACACGCCAAACACUCCUACUUUGUGACAUAUUUGUGAUGUUUUGAUGAUGCUGUUGGAUAAUGUAUUAUGGGAAAUGGGGAGGGGUCUUAAAAGUUCACGCAACCCCAUGCUCAGGGUUCCUACUCUGUGUGUGUUUGAACCUUCUUGCAAGAAAUAAAGAUCAGGUCUACUGACCACGGUUUGCUUCUUUAACUUGACUGGAGAAUCCUUCUUUUGCUGACCAGAGAGACCCAUGAGGAGUUACACCCCGAUGAACUGGGCAGCGGAGUCAAUUCACACCCUCCAAAUAUUUUCCUUAUCAGCAUUAAUGUAUCAUAUGAUUCCCCCUACUUUCCCCCACCCCAAGGUGUUGUGUACUGUGUAUCUUUUACUGUCUCUUGGAGAUCUUCAGAUGACAAGUGAGUAAUCAAUGAAAUGAAGGAGCAAAAUAGGAAUAAGAAAAGAUCCAUCAAGAUUUUGGGGAAAAUCCUUUUCUAAUGAGAGUACGGAUUGCUGGUGCAGUUGGUUGGUGGGUGGGUGGUACUGCCAUUGAAAAGUGUCUAAGCCCAGAUGGCCUCACUGAGCCUUACAAAUCUAGAUAGCAAAAGAUAUUCUGGCACAGAUGAAAUGAAGCUCCAGUGAUCUAGUCCCUUCUGCACUCUGGGGAGGAAGAGAACAGGUUUUUGUCUCAGUUCCCCAUUAGGUUGCAUCACUGUGAAACAUGAUACUACCAGUGUGCUCCCAGUCAACACAGAAAUAAACGGCCUCAUCUUCAGCCUGGAUGUUGGAGAUGGUUAAAUAGCCAGUGUUCCCAGAGGAAGAGCCCGUGAAGCGGUCCGGGAUCCCUUCUCCCCUCUUGUCGGCACCAUAGAGCACAAAACGAGGAGCGUCUCUGGGUUUCUGUUGAUACCAGUAAAAGCUGUCCAAGCUCCCACUACUUUUGGAGCAGGGGAGUUUAGUCGUCUGGCCCAGAGACACAGACUGGGAGUCUGGCUGAAUGACUGCUGGCUGUGAAUGGACACCUUUACAGAAACAGACAGAAAAAGACAGAGAAACUUUCCUCUUCAUCAUUUGUCCCCUCCGGCGUCACAACAGACUGUGUGCACUCAUGGCUGGUUGGUUGGCUGGGUGGGUGUGUAAGUCCUACCAUAUUAUUUAUUUGUUUAAAAAUAUUUAUACCCCACUAUUCAGGAAAAAACAUAUCACAGCAGUCUGCAACAAUCAGAUGUAAAUCAUACAGUAAAAACAUAAACAUUUAAUAUCAGAGAUCAGCUAACUAUUAGAGGAGGAUAUUUUCUUAAUUGUCAGCGUAAGAUGGCAGCCACAGAGAAGUGAGUGCAAAGCCCUUUGGCUCGAGACUUUGAAAGAUCUUAAGGCACAGAGAAAAUGAGCUCUUCAUUCUUCACUCCAGAUUGGAAGAGCAAAGGUUUUUGUCUCAGUUCCCCAUCAGACUGGACCACCGCGAAACAUGUUGUUAUCAUACUCUCAGGCACCACAGUAACAAACUACCUCAUCUUCAGCCUGGAUGUUGGAGAACAAAGUGAGGAACCUGCCCAGGUAUCUGUUGAUUCCAGUGAAACCUGCUCCAGCUACCACCACUAUUUUGAGAGCAGGAGAGUUUCAGUUUCACCUGGGGACACAGACUGGGAGACUGGCUGAGUCAAGGCUGGCUGUGAAGUGACACCUUGCAAAAAAGGAAAAUCAAAUCCUUUGAUCCUCUGUGCUCCCCAAUACUGCAGGAGCAAUAUGUUUCUUUGAUAACCAUCUUAGAUUCUUCUUCUCCUUCUUUCUCUUGCACUUACAUAAGAUUAUCGCUUUGCCUCCUUACCUGAACAGUAACUGAGAAGAGCCAGGAAAAGCAGAGGUGGGGCCAUGGUGGACUCUCCAAAGGAGGGAGGUUUUCUGAGUCAAACAGGGAACUGGCUGGGACUUCGCCAUCCCCUUGCUUAAAUCCCCUAGAGCUGAGGAUUCAUGCAAAUCCAUUCCUGUGCCUUCAUUGGCUUUUCUACUGGGAAUGCAAAUGUGCAAUAAUAAAGUCCAAAACAAAAGAACUGAUUUGCAUUAAGGAGCUGUUAAAAAAAUACCCUGAAAGAGCCAACCUUUCAUGGGGAAUAUGUGUGAGGCAUAGUCCCCAAAUGCCAAGACCAUCAUCAAAACCCUGAAGCUUCUCACUUUAUCAUGCAGUCUCAAAUUCCCCUCUUUGUUGCCAUAGGCUAACUGGGAAUGCCUUCACUGGAAAUGGGGGAAGAGAGAGUUAAGAACUGAGGGCUGCAAUUUAUUGGUGAGCUGUGCCAGAUAUUUACGGUGACGCCAUUUCUCUCAAUGCAUUCCUGUGUCUAAAUAAUCUGAUAUCACUCUACAUUCUUGUCAAAAACAGUCUGAGCGCAUUCACUACAAAGCGAGGAGCCUACCAGGUUUCUGUUGAUACCAGGCAGAUUUGAAAAUAAUAUUAGCGAUGGUGCUUGUCUGGUAGAGGAUGACCUGAAGGAAGAAGCAGGAUAAUUCUUCCUUAUCAAGGCUGAUGGGGAUAUCUCAAGGGAAGAGGGAUAAAGGGGAAUGAAAGUUUAAUGGCAAAGGAUGUGACUUGCAUGUGGAAGGUCCAGUUCUUUGCACCCGAGAUAAAUAGAUCAAGCAGCAGAUGAUGGGAAAGACCUUGAGAUUCUGGGAUGAGAAGAGGAAUAUUGGACUGGGUUACUGCUUUUUGAACAUUCAUUGUGACUUGUUUGUCGUAUUUCAUUGGAACUGUUUCUUCUUUCCAUUUCUGGGCGUACACCAUUCGGGCAGCCGUAAUAGCAUACAUAAAUGUACUUUUUUAACCCCAAGAGUAUUAUAAGGCAGACCAAGUUGUGUGCAGGCACUUGAGUUCAGUGCCGGAUUUACGUACAGUAUAAGCUAAACAAGCUACAGCUUAGGCCCCCACUCUCUUGGGGGCCCCCAAAACAAUUAAAGGAAAUUCUGCAUGUGCAAAUGGCUUUAGAAACCUAUUAGGUUCAAAAAUUACCAUAUAGCAUAUAUUCAACACACAAAAAGGGACAAUUUGUUGUUGACGAAGGACAGCUGGACAUAUAAAGGGCCCCAUUACCUUCACUAGCUUAGGGCCCCAUCAAACCUAAAUCUAGCCCUGCUUGAGUUCCAUGCAUGAGUAACAGCCAAAUAAACUGCUCAUCUGUUCCUGAACUCUGUCUUCAUACUGCAGGUGCAAGGACAUCUGGGGACUCCAGAAAUGAAUUAUGUCAAAGGUAGAUAAACUGAACCAAUGUCUCCCCUUGUGUCUAAAGCUCAGAUUAUCACCAAGGAUGUAUAUAAAGUUUCAGAAUAAAAUACCUUUUUUUAAAAAAAAAACACACAACAGAUUUAUCAGUGUAGAACUGAAGAUUUCUUUUUAAGCAAACUUAUCAUAAAGGAAGCAGUUUUCAGUCAAAUAUCAGGCCGGACUCUUUGCUCUGCAGUCACCUCCUCUUUCACUCUACGAUGUGCAUGAAAAGGUAUCCUUGAAUGCCUCUUUCAAACACCAUUGCCAAGCACUCCUUGGGAAUCGGAGGAAAUUAUGAAUGGAUACGUUCUGAGUAUGCUGGCUAGAACACUGUCACCAGUUCUCUUCCUGGACCUGAUUUUGUGUUGUGUUUCUGCAUGUAAAAGGUAAAGGUAAAGGACCACUGGACGGUUAAGUCCAGUCAAAGGUGACUAUAAGGUUGUGGUGCUCAUCUCACUUUCAGGCCAAGGGAACUGGCGUUUGUCUGCAGAGAGCUUUCCGGGUCAUGUGGCCAGCAGGACUAAACCGCUUCUGGCGCAACAGGACACUGUGAUGGAAAACAGAGCGCACGGAAAUGCCGGUUACCUUCCUGCCGCAGUGGUACCUAUCUAUCUACUUUCACUGGGGUGCUUUUGAUCUGCUAGGUUGGCAGGAGCUGGGAGAGAGCAACGGGAGCUCACCCCGUUGGGGGGAUUCGAACCGCUGACCUUCUGAGUUGCAAGCCCAAGAGACUCAGUGGUUUGGAUGACAGCACCACCCACUGGUCGGUGGGAUGUAAUGGUUUUCCUUCUCCACCCCAGAGAGCAGCAGGGAGCUCAGGGAAGGCUGGCCAGACCACAAGGCACACACAGCUCCACCCUCCAAUAUUUGGCCAGCACUCCCUGCCACCCUCAGCAUCUGCUGCCUGGACCCUCUGCCAAAUGCUGGGAUCAAAGCUCAGGAGAGGAGGGGUGAAGAUGGACAGGAGCUCAGAAGAAUAUAAUUCCCAGGUGUAAGGGGGGGAAAUGUUAUUUAUGUAUGCUACUACUGUGGCCCGUGUUUCGUUAGCCCCCAAAAAUGAAAAAUAAGAGAGAUCCCAACUAAAGAAGAAUGGCUACUUAAACUGAUGGAAUAUGCGAACAUAUAGAAUAAGAGAGCAAGAGGAAAAUACUUUUAAAGAAGACUGGAAAAUGUUGCUUGAAUACAUGGGGGGAAAUUUUGUACACUUGAAAUGUUGGCAGCAUUAAGAUAAAUUCAACAGUGUAAAUAAGUUUUGAUGGAUGUAUUAAUGGAAUACUGAAGGGUUUAGUUUAUGUAAAAUAGAUAAAACAUUUUGGCACCUGAUUGCAUUAUACGUUGACAGGGAAUGGGAGCAAAAAUAAGGGUUUCUUCUUCUUCUUUUUCCCCCACCAUGUGCACCGGGUGUGGGGAACCUUUGGCCCUAUCUACAGCAGGGGUCAGCAACCUUUUUCAGCAUAGGGGCGGUCCACUGUCCCUCAGACCUUAUGGGGGACAGGACUGUAUUAUUUUUUUGGGGGGGGGAAUGAAUGAAUUCCUAUGCCCCACAAAUAACCCAGAGAUGCAUUUUAAAUAAAAGGACCCAUUCUACGCAUGUAAAAACACGCUGAUUCCUGGAGCAUCCGUGGGCCGGAUUGACAAGGUGAUUGGGCUGCAUCCAGCCCAAGGGCCUUAAGUUGCCUGCCCCUGAUCUACAGUAUCCAGUAAGGCUGGCCCCUGGCCAUGCUGUCUGGGAGGGGCUGAUGGGCAGUUCACUAACACCUGGAGCAGCAAGUGCUCCCCCUUUGGUCAGCCCAGUGUCUCAUAUUCUAGAUUAGAGACGCAGAAUAUUAGCACCUGAAUGAGUUGGAAGGCACAGGAGAUUUACUCACAAAUAAAGAGCAUUCUUCCAUUUCACUUCACACUGCAGUUGCAGGAAGUUUAUGUGGUGGUAUAAUUUUUGCUAAAUCUGGUCUAAGUGGACCUACAUCGCCCCCUACAGAUUAAAGGAAGGACUGCAGAGUUUGCAGCUCUAUCAACAGCCAGACACACUGAGAUUUCCAUGGCAAAGUUUCUCAGGGCCUGGAGGUGAGAGGAAAGAUUUCCAAACACAACCCACUUGGAAAUUUAUAUAUAUAAGACCCUGGACAAUUUCCAAGUGGGUUGUUUUACAAUUUAAAAUACUCCUUUUACAUCCUUAAGAUACCAAUGACUUCCCUUCUUUUCUUUCCAUGGUUCACUUUACAUAUCAUAAAUCCCUGCAUAUUUUACAAAAAGUAUACCGUUCAGUAUUCCAUUAUUGCAUCCAUCAAAACUUGUUUACACUGCUGAAUUUAUCUAAAUGCUGCUAGUGUUUUCAGCUGUACACAAUUAUUCCCCAUAUAUUCAAUAAAUGUUUUCCAAUCUUCUUUAAAUGUAUGCUCUUCUUGUUCUCUUAUUCUAUAUGUUAAGUCUGCGAGUUUGCAUAUCAAAUUGCCUAGGGUCUUAAGGAUGGGUGCUUAAUAAUUCUUCUGCCUAUUAUAGUAAUUGUAAUGUGCUGUGUUAGGUGCUGCACGUUUAAUUGUAUUUUCAUUGCUUGUUUCAUUUCUUACAUAUUGCCUUUUAUUGCAUUACAAUGUGAAUUUCCUAAGAAAUAACAGAAACAAUUAGAAUACAUUUAAAGAGCAUGUUGACUCUAACAGGAAGCUGGGUGGGACCUGACACUUUCCUUUCUUAUAUCUCCCCAGGGCUGAUGAAUGGUCCUUUCAUGGACAUCCCAUGUUCAUUGGCUCUCUUAGAACUUUGUCUCUCUUCCGAGAAUACAAAAUGCAAUAUCAAAAUGAAAUGCAAUAUAAUACUUUAGCAGAAAGGAGAUUUAAAAAUAGUAUUAGCGAUGGUGCUUGUCUGGUAGAAGAUGACCUUAAGGAAGAAGCAGGAUAAUUCUUCCUUAUCAAGGCUGAUGGGGUUAUCUCAAGGGAAGAGGGAUAAAGGGGAAUGAAAGUUUCAUGGCAAAGGAUGUGACUUGCAUGUGGAAGGUCCAGUUCCUUGCACCAGAGAUAAAUAGAUCAAGCAGCAGAUGAUGGGAAAGACCUUGAGAUUCUGGGAUGAGAAGAGGAAUAUUGGACUGGGCUACUGCUUUUUGAACAUUCAUUGUGACUUGUUUGCAAGGAAAUUAAAAAACAACGACAACCCAGCUAUUUCUUUAUUAACAGGGUUGCCAUGUUUCAAAAUGUGAAAAUCCGGACACAAGAGUUGAUGAUCGUUUUUUGGCAAAGUUGUUGAGCUUUGACCUAGCCAUCAAGGAGAAUUAAGAACUGAGGGCUGCAGUUUAUUGCUGAGCUGUGUCAGAUGUUUACGGUGAGGCCAUUUCUCUAAAUGCAUUCCGGUGUCCAAAAUAAUCUGAUAUCAUACUACAUUCUUAUCAAAAACAGUCUGAGCUCAUUCAGGCCCAACUCUCCUCUUGAGGAACUCAGGUUUUGUUGUCGCAGGGCAGAAGAAAAAAGGUUUUUGUCUCAGUUCCCCAUCAGAUUGUAUCACCGUGAAACAUGUUGCUGUCAUCCUCCCAGGCACCACAGUAAUAAACGGCCUCAUCUUCAGCCUGGAUGUUGGAGAUGGUUAAAGAGCCAGUGUUCCCAGAUUCAGAGCCAGUGAACCGAUCUGGGAUCCCUUCUCCCCUGGUGCUGGAGCCAAACCACACAAAGCGAGGAGCCUGUCCAGGUUUCUGUUGAUACCAGCCAAAGCUGUACCAGUCACCACCACUACUUGCAGAGCAGGCGAGUUUCACAGUUUGGCCCAGGGACACAGACUGGGAGCCUGUCUGAGUCACUGUUGGCUGUGAAUUGGCACCUUUUGAA